CUGGGGGAAAUGGAAGGAAAAAGGAAGAGAGGCCAACCAAGGGCAAGAUGGAUGGAUGGUAUCCUUGAAGUUACUGGCAUGAACUUGAAGGAACUGGGGGCGGCAACGGACUACAGGGAGCUUUGGCGUAGACUGGUCCAUGAGGUCACGAAGAGUCGGAAACGACUGACCGAAUAAAGAAGAAGAAGAAGACAGCCAGCGUGAUCGUAUCAUGAAUGCCUCUGCUGAUGUCUGCACGGGGCAACCACAUUGUCCAGGAGCUCACAUGGAGCGACACAGCUAGCCACAGCACACAUAAAUGUAGAUCAAACAGAAAAGACAAGCAAUGAAGAGAGCUCCCAUGGCUGGUUUCUAAACCUUGCACGCAAUCACUCGCAGGCAUGCAGACUUUAUGAGAUGACAUGUCUGGUCAAGGUGAAAAACACUUGCAAAUUCAAGAGAGCAGACAAAGCCAGAGAUGUUUCCAUGAAGGCGCUGGCAGCAAUUGCUUGCAGCAAUAUCAUCCUCCACCCCAGAGGCCCUUGCAGUAAUUUAGCAGCAACAGCAGGAGAAAAGCCAACUUGGAGAUGACCCAGCACCAGCAAAAGCAAGUGUCUUUUCACAGAAGGUUGGGGGGGGGGGACUUGUUCACUCCCUGUAAGUUCAUUUCAUUACUUUAAAGUAUAACUAAUAUAGUGUUUGAGCACAUAUAUUAAGGUACAAGUAAGCACAAUCUAGAAAUCCUGAAGGAUAUUGAUAAUUUAACAAUAUUCCAUGAUGAAAAUUAUUGAAUGGGAAUAGACAUGUAUUUUCAAAUUUUUAUAAUAUUUCCUGGACUUCUGCUAUUGUGGAGAAUAAGGAUAAUGGGGACAGACCAGCAGCAGCAACUUCCCAAAGGCAUUAUUGUUUCAACACUUUAAUAAAAUGUAUCUAUUAUUUCUAAAUUU